rnacentral:lncRNA from 1 species
AUUUACAGUGUCUGAACAAUAUUUCUACAAUGUUUACCAUAUUUUUAAUGCAUUAAAUAUUUCAGCAUCUCAUCCCAGUACAAGCUCUUCUACAACUGAGUCUCAAACAGCAGAACCUACAAUUUCUGCUACAACAAACUCUCCAUCAACUGUGUCUCCAACAUCAGCUCCUUUAACACCCCCUGCCAGUACAAGCUCCUCUACAACUGAAUCUCAAACAGCAGAACCUACAAGUAAGUAUUGCAUAUGUGCAGUUGUCAAAAAAAGAUUUAUUUUAUCUUUGCCAUUAUGACAGUAAAUAAUAUUUGACUAGAUAUUUUUCGAGACACUUCUAUACAACUUAAAGUGACAUUCAAAGGCUUAACUAGGUUAAUUAGUUUAACUAGGCAGGUUAGGGUAAUUAGACAAGUUAUUGUGUAAUGAUGGUUUGUCUGUAGACUAUCGAGAAAAAAAUAUAGCUUAAAGUUGCUAAUAAUUUUGUCCCUGAAAUAGUUUUAAAAAUUUUUUUAUCCUAUUCUUUUAUUCGAGCCAAA